AUGUCCUUUCCAGGAAAUGAUGAAAUAUUAAACCUCCAGUCUGUAGAGUCCUGAUCAGUGGAUGCAGGGAAAGAGAAUACCAGGGAAAGGAUGUCUUGGUAUGGGUCAGUUUCUUAUGCUCUGUUGUGACCCUGCAGAGCUGGCAGCUGCUGCAGGCAAGAUGUUAGGCCUUCAGGCUGAGCUGCCAUGUUUUCAUAAGGGACAGCAAGCAGAGCCUGCAUUCUAAAUCCCCUUCUAAGCUUAUUUUAUCUUAUGCCUUAGAUGAACAUCAGCUGUGCUUUCUCCAUACAAGCAUGUGAACUGCAUCAUGAGAUACUGUGAAGCUUAGUGUGUAUAGCACGCUAUGAAGAUGUGGGGAAAAUGCUAAGUAUUCUUUUCUCUUCCAUGUUCUUUCACAGUUCUUUCUUUCUCUCCACGUAGGCACACUACCAACCCCAAGAAAUUACACUAACUGGUACUAUUUAUUCCCAGCUGGAACCAGAAGAAAUCAAGAUAAACAGUCUGCUGUCACCAAAGGAAGAGGAGAGUCAUAAGAACACUGAUAUUCUGUCAAGAUGCCAAGCAGUCCAGAGAAGACUGGAACUGAGACAUAGACAAGUUUCUAGCAAGUACCAACCUCAUCCAACAAGCAAAGUCUUCUAAAUCCAAACAGGUAAAAUAUUUUUA